AUAGCCGAAUGGUUAGUGACCCUGACUACUAAGCUAUAGGUCCCGGGUUCGAAUCCCGGUAGGUGCAAUCAUUUAUAUGAUGAAUAUGAAUGUUUGUUUCCGAGUCAUGGAUGUUUAUAUGUAUUUAUGUAUGUUUAAGUAAGUAUAUUGUAUUAAAUAUAUCGUUGUCUUGUACCCAUAGUACAGGCUAUGCCUAGUUUGGGGCAAGAUAAUUUGUGUGAAAGUGUGUCAAUAUUA